AGUGAACGCUGGCGGUAGGCCUAACACAUGCAAGUCGAACGGCAGCACAGGAGAGCUUGCUCUCUGGGUGGCGAGUGGCGGACGGGUGAGGAAUACAUCGGAAUCUACUCUGUCGUGGGGGAUAACGUAGGGAAACUUACGCUAAUACCGCAUACGACCUACGGGUGAAAGCAGGGGAUCUUCGGACCUUGCGCGAUUGAAUGAGCCGAUGUCGGAUUAGCUAGUUGGCGGGGUAAAGGCCCACCAAGGCGACGAUCCGUAGCUGGUCUGAGAGGAUGAUCAGCCACACUGGAACUGAGACACGGUCCAGACUCCUACGGGAGGCAGCAGUGGGGAGUAUUGGACAAUGGGGGCAACCCUGAUCCAGCAAUGCCGCGUGUGUGAAGAAGGCCUUCGGGUUGUAAAGCACUUUAGGUUGGGAAGAAGGUGUGUUGUUUAAGAGAUGAUACAUUUGACGGUACCAACAGAAUAAGCACCGGCUAACUCUGUGCCAGCCGCCGCGGUAC
rnacentral:rRNA from 1 species